rnacentral:rRNA from 1 species
AUUGAACGCUGGCGGCAGGCCUAACACAUGCAAGUCGAACGGCAGCACAGUGGAGCUUGCUCCAUGGGUGGCGAGUGGCGGACGGGUGAGGAAUACAUCGGAAUCUGCCCAGUCGUGGGGGAUAACAUAGGGAAACUUAUGCUAAUACCGCAUACGACCUACGGGUGAAAGCGGGGGAUCGCAAGACCUCGCGCGAUUGGAUGAGCCGAUGUCCGAUUAGCUAGUUGGCGGGGUAAUGGCCCACCAAGGCGACGAUCGGUAGCUGGUCUGAGAGGAUGAUCAGCCACGCUGGAACUGAGACACGGUCCAGACUCCUACGGGAGGCAGCAGUGGGGAAUAUUGGACAAUGGGCGCAAGCCUGAUCCAGCCAUGCCGCGUGGGUGAAGAAGGCCUUCGGGUUGUAAAGCCCUUUUGUCCGGAAAGAAAAGCCUCGGAUUAAUACCCUGGGGUGAUGACGGUACCGGAAGAAUAAGCACCGGCUAACUUCGUGCCAGCAGCCGCAGUAACAC